AUUGAACGCUGGCGGCAGGCCUAACACAUGCAAGUCGAGCGGAUGAAGGGAGCUUGCUCCUGGAUUCAGCGGCGGACGGGUGAGUAAUGCCUAGGAAUCUGCCUGGUAGUGGGGGAUAACGUCCGGAAACGGGCGCUAAUACCGCAUACGUCCUGAGGGAGAGAGUGGGGGAUCUUCGGACCUCACGCUAUCAGAUGAGCCUAGGUCGGAUUAGCUAGUUGGUGGGGUAAAGGCCUACCAAGGCGACGAUCCGUAACUGGUCUGAGAGGAUGAUCAGUCACACUGGAACUGAGACACGGUCCAGACUCCUACGGGAGGCAGCAGUGGGGAAUAUUGGACAAUGGGCGAAAGCCUGAUCCAGCCAUGCCGCGUGUGUGAAGAAGGUCUUCGGAUUGUAAAGCACUUUAAGUUGGGAGGAAGGGCAGUAAGUUAAUACCUUGCUGUUUUGACGGUACCAACAGAAUAAGCACCGGCUAACUUCGUG
rnacentral:rRNA from 1 species